rnacentral:rRNA from 1 species
AUUGAACGCUGGCGGCAUGCCUUACACAUGCAAGUCGAACGGUAACAGGCCGCAAGGUGCUGACGAGUGGCGAACGGGUGAGUAAUGUAUCGGAACGUGCCUAGUCGUGGGGGAUAACUGCUCGAAAGAGCAGCUAAUACCGCAUACGACCUGAGGGUGAAAGCGGGGGAUCGCAAGACCUCGCGCGAUUGGAGCGGCCGAUAUCAGAUUAGGUAGUUGGUGGGGUAAAGGCCCACCAAGCCAACGAUCUGUAGCUGGUCUGAGAGGACGACCAGCCACACUGGGACUGAGACACGGCCCAGACUCCUACGGGAGGCAGCAGUGGGGAAUUUUGGACAAUGGACGCAAGUCUGAUCCAGCCAUGCCGCGUGCGGG